AACUUUGCGCAGUGGCGAUAUCGUAACCAAUGAGGUACAACCGAGGUGCGAUUAUUGCACAACAUUCACACUGUAGAUACUUACGGUUAGAAAAAAGUACCCAAAAGUAAAUUCUUUUCACUCAUCUCGGCACUAUAGUG